rnacentral:rRNA from 1 species
GAUGAACGCUGGCGGCGUGCCUAAUACAUGCAAGUCGAGCGAACCACUUCGGUGGUGAGCGGCGAACGGGUGAGUAACACGUAGGUUAUCUGCCCAUCAGACGGGGACAACGAUUGGAAACGAUCGCUAAUACCGGAUAGGACGAAAGUUUAAAGGUGCUUCGGCACCACUGAUGGAUGAGCCUGCGGGGCAUUAGCUAGGUGGUAGGGUAAAGGCCUACCAAGGCGACGAUGUGUAGCCGACCUGAGAGGGUGAACGGCCACACUGGGACGGAGACACGGCCCAGACUCCUACGGGAGGCAGCAGUAGGGAAUCUUCGGCAAUGGGCGAAAGCCUGACCGAGCAACGCCGCGUGAAUGAUGAAGGCCUUCGGGUUGUAAAAUUCUGUUAUAAGGGAAGAAUGGCUUUAGUAGGAAAUGGCUAGAGUGUGACGGUACCUUAUGAGAAAGCCACGGCUAACUACGUGCCAGCCGCCGCAGUAAUAC